AUUGAACGCUGGCGGCAUGCCUUACACAUGCAAGUCGAACGGCAGCACGGGUGCUUGCACCUGGUGGCGAGUGGCGAACGGGUGAGUAAUACAUCGGAACAUGUCCUGUAGUGGGGGAUAGCCCGGCGAAAGCCGGAUUAAUACCGCAUACGAUCUACGGAUGAAAGCGGGGGACCUUCGGGCCUCGCGCUAUAGGGUUGGCCGAUGGCUGAUUAGCUAGUUGGGGGGGUAAAGGCCUACCAAGGCGACGAUCAGUAGCUGGUCUGAGAGGACGACCAGCCACACUGGGACGGAGACACGGCCCAGACUCCUACGGGAGGCAGCAGUGGGGAAUUUUGGACAAUGGGCGAAAGCCUGAUCCAGCAAUGCCGCGUGUGUGAAGAAGGCCUUCGGGUUGUAAAGCACUUUUGUCCGGAAAGAAAUCCUUGGCCCUAAGACGGUCGGGGGAUGACGGUACCGGAAGAAUAAGCACCGGCUAACUACGUG
rnacentral:rRNA from 1 species